rnacentral:rRNA from 1 species
ACUCCUACGGGAGGCAGCAGUGGGAAUAUUGGACAAUGGGGGCAACCCUGAUCCAGCAAUACCGCGUGUGUGAAGAAGGCCUGAGGGUUGUAAAGCACUUUCAGCGAGGAGGAAGUUAAUGUAGUUAAUAGCUAUGUUGAUUGACGUUACUCGCAGAAGAAGCACCGGCUAACUCUGUGCCAGCAGCCGCGGUAAUACAGAGGGUGCAAGCGUUAAUCGGAAUUACUGGGCGUAAAGCGUGCGUAGGCGGAUAUUUAAGUCAGAUGUGAAAGCCCCGGGCUCAACCUGGGAACUGCAUUUCGAACUGGCAAACUAGAGUGUGAUAGAGGGUGGUAGAAUUUCAGGUGUAGCGGUGAAAUGCGUAGAGAUCUGAAGGAAUACCGAUGGCGAAGGCAGCCACCUGGGUCAACACUGACGCUCAUGUACGAAAGCGUGGGGAGCAAAACGGGAUUAGAUACCAUGGUAGGCUCUGCU